AAGGGCACCACAAGAACGCGUGGAGCAUGUGGCUUAAUUUGACUCAACGCGGGAAAUCUUACCGGGUCCGGACACACUGAGGAUUGACAGGCAAUAUUAUUUAAAUGAACUUCGGUUUGUUUUUAUAUGUAAAUAUGCUAGUCCUUUCAUGAUUAUGUGAUAGGUGGUGCAUGGCCGUUCUUAGUUCGUGGAGUGAUCUGUCUGCUUAAUUGCGUUUCACUAAGAGCUUAUAUAUAAACGUAUGUUUGCUCUCAUAUUUGACCCCCGUUUGAUUUUUCUUCUUCGGAGGAUUUCAUUGAACGUGUGUGUUGUCAUUUGUGUUUCAAGCAUCAUACAAUUAAGCUCUGAAAGCAACGAACGUGACCGCAACCCCUUGUUGCCUCUAAUUUAAUUUUUUUUUUCCUUCGGGAAGAGAGAAUGCAAAAGAGGCUUUAAAACUAGAGGGACCGCUGUAACUUUUUUAAACCAGAGGAAGGUUGCGGCAAUAACAGGUCUGUGAUGCCCUUAGAUGUUCCGGGCUGCACACGUGCUACAAUGAUUGUUGCAGUGAGCAUCUCAAAUAAACACCGUGGUCAAGCUAAUUUGGUGUACUUUGAUUGUUUGAUGGUCGAUUUCGGUUGAUCGUUGGACUUUCUUUGUUAUCCUUAUUCAGUCAGACUCGGUUAAGCCUGCUUCGAAAGUAAGUAGGUAAUCAAUCCGAAGUAACGAUUUCCCAACUUUAGCACACCUAUAUGCGGCGUUUAUACCCUGGCAUUUGCUUGUCAAGUGUUUUUGUGUGUAUAGAUGUUUUCUGCAUGUGCUUUUGUCAAUUCAAGGUGGGGACAAACCAUUGUUAAUUGUUGGUUUCGGUCUUAACUAGGAAUGCCUUGUACGGGUCUUUGGUUCAACAAACCACCCGGAAUAUGUCCCUGCCCUUUGUACACACCGCCCGUCGCUCUUACCGAUGGACUUAUCUGUGAGUUUGAGGGACUGGAUAUUUAACUUUCGAGUUAAUCUUCUAUGGAAACUUAAACGAACAGGUUGGUCUAAAGGAAAGAGAAGUCGAACAAGGCA
rnacentral:rRNA from 1 species